rnacentral:rRNA from 1 species
UAGCCGUAAACGAUACUCGCUAGGUGUCGGCCACGGUGCGACCGUUGUCGGUGCCGUAGGGAAGCCGUGAAGCGAGCCACCUGGGAAGUACGGCCGCAAGGCUGAAACUUAAAGGAAUUGGCGGGGGAGCACAACAACGGGUGGAGCUUGCGGUUUAAUUGGACUCAACGCCGGGAAGCUUACCGGAUAAGACAGCGGAAUGAUUGCCGGGCUGAAGACCCUGCAUGACCAGCUGAGAGGUGGUGCAUGGCGUAGACGUCU